UCGGAAAAUGACUCGGAAUGCAUGACACAAGCAAAUGAAAAAAAAAACGCUAAUUACGAAACGCCCACGAAAGAAACGCCAAGCUCAUGUUACGUUUUGGAUUCGAAGCUACAACCGAAUCACAUUCAAGGCCAUUCACCAUUGCCCAGCAGGUAGACUCUAAGAUUGAUGAAGAUCGAGGCGAGACAGCCCAAAGGACAAAGUUGCUGGAGAAAUGGAUGAACGUACAUUGGUUUGGAAGCCCCAAUAGUCUAAUAGGUGCAUUUAUUCAUACAUUUCUCUUCAAUAGAUUAUGUGCAUUCCACUAGUUGUUAAAAUAAAACAGAACACGAGAACUUGCUCCAUA